rnacentral:rRNA from 1 species
CCUACGGGAGGCAGCAGUGGGGAAUAUUGGACAAUGGGGGGAACCCUGAUCCAGCGACGCCGCGUGAGUGAAGAAGUAUUUCGGUAUGUAAAGCUCUAUCAGCAGGGAAGAAAGAAAUGACGGUACCUGACUAAGAAGCCCCGGCUAACUACGUGCCAGCAGCCGCGGUAAUACGUAGGGGGCAAGCGUUAUCCGGAUUCACUGGGUGUAAAGGGAGCGUAGACGGCCAGGCAAGCCUGGAGUGAAAGCCCGGGGCCUAACCCCGGGACUGCUCUGGGAACUGUCCGGCUGGAGUGCGGGAGGGGCAGGCGGAAUUCCUGGUGUAGCGGUGAAAUGCGUAGAUAUCAGGAGGAACACCAGCGGCGAAGGCGGCCUGCUGGACCGCGACUGACGUUGAGGCUCGAAAGCGUGGGGAGCGAACAGGAUUAGAUACCCGGGUAGUC